rnacentral:misc_RNA from 1 species
CCUUUCCAUACAGAAGCGUUGCGUUGGUCGAGUGGUGCAAGCUACUCCCCUCGCAAUUCUUCUUGUAUACCACCCUUGUCUUUUGCGCACUUAUUGUUUCCUCGGCGGGCUUGCCCGCCGGUUGGACAACCUUAUAACCUAUUUAAUUUUCAAUCAGCGUCUGAAAUAAUUUAAUAAUUA